rnacentral:rRNA from 1 species
AACGAACGCUGGCGGCGUGGAUUAGGCAUGCAAGUCGAACGCGAAAGAGGGAGCAAUCCCUCAAGUAGAGUGGCGAACGGGUGAGUAACGCGUGAAGAACCUGCCUUCAACAGGGGGAUAACACUCCCAACGGGGUGCUAAUACCGCAUGAGACCACGGGUCCGCAUGGACCUGAGGUCAAAGGUGGCCUCUGCUUGCAAGCUACCGGUUGAAGAUGGCUUCGCGUCCCAUAGCUAGUUGGCGGUGUAAAAGACCACCAAGGCGACGAUGGGUAGCUGGUCUGAGAGGAUGGUCAGCCACAC